UACGUAGGGUGCGAGCGUUAAUCGGAAUUACUGGGCGUAAAGCGUACGCAGGCGGCUAUGCAAGACAGAUGUGAAAUCCCCGGGCUUAACCUGGGAACUGCAUUUGUGACUGCAUAGCUAGAGUUUGUCAGAGGGGGGUGGAAUUCCACGUGUAGCAGUGAAAUGCGUAGAGAUGUGGAGGAACACCGAUGGCGAAGGCAGCCCCCUGGGACCUGACUGACGCUCAUGUACGAAAGCGUGGGGAGCAAACAGG
rnacentral:rRNA from 2 species